AUUAGAGUUUGAUCCUGGCUCAGAUUGAACGCUGGCGGCAUGCCUUACACAUGCAAGUCGAACGGCAGCACGGAGCUUGCUCUGGUGGCGAGUGGCGAACGGGUGAGUAAUAUAUCGGAACGUACCCUAGAGUGGGGGAUAACGUAGCGAAAGUUACGCUAAUACCGCAUACGAUCUAAGGAUGAAAGUGGGGGAUCGCAAGACCUCAUGCUCGUGGAGCGGCCGAUAUCUGAUUAGCUAGUUGGUAGGGUAAAAGCCUACCAAGGCAUCGAUCAGUAGCUGGUCUGAGAGGACGACCAGCCACACUGGAACUGAGACACGGUCCAGACUCCUACGGGAGGCAGCAGUGGGGAAUUUUGGACAAUGGGCGAAAGCCUGAUCCAGCAAUGCCGCGUGAGUGAAGAAGGCCUUCGGGUUGUUAAGCUCUUUUGUCAGGGAAGAAACGGUGAAAGCUAAUAUCUUUUGCUAAUGACGGUACCUGAAGAAUAAGCACCGGCUAACUACGUGCCAGCAGCCGCGGUAAUACGUAGGGU
rnacentral:rRNA from 1 species